GAUGAACGCUGGCGGCGUGCUUAACACAUGCCAGUCGAACGAUGAAGCCCAGCUUGCUGGGUGGAUUAGUGGCGAACGGGUGAGUAACACGUGAGUAACCUGCCCUUAACUCUGGGAUAAGCCUGGGAAACUGGGUCUAAUACCGGAUAGGAGCGUCCACCGCAUGGUGGGUGUUGGAAAGAUUUAUCGGUUUUGGAUGGACUCGCGGCCUAUCAGCCUGUUGGUGAGGUAAUGGCUCACCAAGGCGACGACGGGUAGCCGGCCUGAGAGGGUGACCGGCCACACUGGGACUGAGACACGGCCCAGACUCCUACGGGAGGCAGCAGUGGGGAAUAUUGCACAAUGGGCGCAAGCCUGAUGCAGCGACGCCGCGUGAGGGAUGACGGCCUUCGGGUUGUAAACCUCUUUCAGUAGGGAAGAAGCGAAAGUGACGGUACCUGCAGAAGAAGCACCGGCUAACUACGUG
rnacentral:rRNA from 1 species